rnacentral:pre_miRNA from 1 species
CCUAAAAUAAACCAACUUUUACUUAUAAUGUUUGACUCUUUAUCUUACUCAAUUUUUUACGAUUAACUUUUUUGUUUUUACUAGAUGAUAAAUCAUGAAUAGUUCUUUACGCGUGACUAUUUUUUAUUUUUUAAAUAAAAAUUAAAUAAGACGGAUAGUUAAACGUUGGACACGAAAACCGAAAGUUUACCUUAGG